rnacentral:pre_miRNA from 1 species
UUAGCUCACAUUUGUAUGGAAUGGGAUCGUUUGCGUACGUUUGCCGCUAGGGGCGCUGUUCCAACUGCAUACAAAAUUGAGUUA